rnacentral:rRNA from 1 species
CACGUAGGGUGCGAGCGUUGUCCGGAAUUAUUGGGCGUAAAGAGCUCGUAGGCGGUGUGUCGCGUCGGCCGUGAAAACCUGCAGCUUAACUGUGGGCUUGCGGUCGAUACGGGCAUGACUGGAGUUCGGUAGGGGAGACUGGAAUUCCUGGUGUAGCGGUGAAAUGCGCAGAUAUCAGGAGGAACACCCGUGGCGAAAGCGGCUCUCUGGGACGGUACUGACGCUGAGACGCGAAAGCGUGGGGGAGCAAACAGG